CCUGACAGAGCGGCAAAGCUGGACAGACUCCAUCAGGAUUAAAGGCAGCGGCGACGCCAAGACCGAGGUGGUGGUGUUCUUUGUAAGGCCAUUCGGGAUGAGGUCCCCAGCGAGAUGGUCAAAAGGAAACCUACUUAGAGGAUUUUAAGCCACAGUUUGAAAGGCAAUAAAAGGAAGCACCAGCCAGUGAAAUGAGAUCUAGGCCACUCACCUGGAGGUUAAAUGUCACGUUCAUCUCAUGCAGGGAAAUUAAAAUACUUGCCAAUGACCUAAAAUGUGUCUACCCUUCAGGGCAAAGAGAGGAAGACUGUGAGAGUGAUUACGUGACUGUGCGAUUGUAUUCAAAUGUUCCUAAGACUUCAUUUAUGCAGCUCUCCACGUGCACUUCCCCCGACACCCUUUACCUAAUUCCAUGUCUGAAGUUCACCAUGGGGAGUGAAGCGAGAUGAGGACACAGGCUCCGAGGGGUGGGCCUGUGGGAGUGGCCGUUUUUGUACAAAGCUGUAACAUUGUGGGGACAGCAGGGCCACG